rnacentral:rRNA from 1 species
UACGUAGGGUGCAAGCGUUGUCCGGAAUUAUUGGGCGUAAAGAGCUCGUAUGCGGUUUGUCGCGUCGGCCGUGAAAUCUCCACGCUUAACGUGGAGCGUGCGGUCGAUACGGGCAGACUUGAGUUCGGUAGGGGAGACUGGAAUUCCUGGUGUAGCGGUGAAAUGCGCAGAUAUCAGGAGGAACACCGGUGGCGAAGGCGGGUCUCUGGGCAUCUCCUGACGCUGAGGCGCGAAAGCGUGGGGAGCAAACGGG